AAGCUUACCAGAUGUUUGCACGGUAAGGAUUGAUAGAGUGAUAGAUUUUUCUUGAUUUUAUGGGUUGUGAUGCAUGUCUGUCUUUGUUGGUGGAGCGAUUUAGUGAUUUUUCUGAUUAAUUUAUUAAUAAACGAGACCUCAACCGACUAAUUAGUUAUACAGAGGCACCCCUCCAUGGUCUACUUAUAGGAACUAUAGCCUUUUAGGGCGUAGAUGUUCGAGGCAAUAACACAUUUGUAAUGCCUUCAGACGUUCUUG
rnacentral:rRNA from 1 species